CCAAUAGCGUAUAUUAAAGUUGUUGCAGUUAAAAAGCUCGUAGUUGAAUUUCAGGCCUGGCUGGACGGUCCGCCCUUCGGGUGAGUACUGUCUGUGGUCGGGUCCUACCUUCUGGCGAAGCGUCAUGGCCUUAACCGGCCGUGGCGGGGAACCAGGACUUUUACUGUGAAAAAAUUAGAGUGUUCAAAGCAGGCAAUCGCUUGGAUACAUUAGCAUGGAAUAAUGGAAUAGGACAAUGGUUCUAUUUGUUGGUCUCUAGGACCGUUGUAAUGAUUAAUAGGGAUAGUUGGGGGCAUUAGUAUUCAAUUGUCGGAGGUGAAAUUCUUGGAUUUAUUGAAGACUAACUACUGCGAAAGCAUUUGCCAAGGAUGUUUUCAUUAAUCAAGAACGAAAGUUAGGGGAUCGAAGACGAUCAGAUACCGUCGUAGUCUUAACCAUAAACUAUGCCGACUAGGAAUCGGGCGAUGUUGAAAAAAUGACGCGCUCGGCACCUCAUG
rnacentral:rRNA from 1 species